rnacentral:other from 1 species
AAAGUCCUGGGGUGUGCGUUAAAGCCUGAAAAUUCAACCUACAGAAAACAUCCGGGAGUUCGUGUCCUUUUGCAAAUGAAAUGCCUCUUCAGAGAGGAAUUCAAGAGUAAUAGGUAGAACACCCACCUAGUGUGCAUAGCGGGUGUGAAUUUGAGGGUGGACGGCAUUCUGGGUCAAUA